UACGUAUGGAGCAAGCGUUAUCCGGAAUUACUGGGUGUAAAGGGAGCGUAGACGGAUGUGCAAGUCUGAUGUGAAAGGCGGGGGCUCAACCCCUGGACUGCAUUGGAAACUGUAAAUCUUGAGUGCCGGAGAGGUAAGCGGAAUUCCUAGUGUAGCGGUGAAAUGCGUAGAUAUUAGGAGGAACACCAGUGGCGAAGGCGGCUUACUGGACGGUGACUGACGUUGAGGCUCGAAAGCGUGGGGAGCAAACAGG
rnacentral:rRNA from 1 species